UGGGGAAUCUUGCACAAUGGAGGAAACUCUGAUGCAGCGACGCCGCGUGAGCGAUGAAGCCCUUCGGGGUGUAAAGCUCUUUCGACGGGAACGAUAAUGACGGUACCCGGAGAAGAAGCUGCGGCUAACUACGUGCCAGCAGCCGCGGUAAUACGUAGGCAGCAAACGUUGUUCGGAAUUACUGGGCGUAAAGAGUGUGUAGGCGGUUUUGCAAGUUUGGUGUGAAAUCUCCCGGCUUAACUGGGAGGGUGCGCCGAAAACUGCAAGGCUCGAGUACUGGAGAGGAAAGCGGAAUUCCUGGUGUAGCGGUGAAAUGCGUAGAUAUGUGGAAGAACACCGAUGGCGAAGGCAGCUCCCUGGGUUGACACUGACGCUCAUGCACGAAAGCGUGGGGAGCAAACA
rnacentral:rRNA from 1 species